CCUAGAAAACUACCCAUUAUUAGAAAGAAAGAACACAUUCUGUUGCAUCAAAAAUGGCAUUAUGACCACAACAGCAAAUUGUCCUAUACAGAUUUUGAAAAACUGUACAAGAAAAUCUUCUGCUGGAGGCAUCGGGACCUUGUCUUCUAGGUAGUAAAGUUAUAGAAACUGUAAGACUGGGAAAAAGGAAAGGAGACAUAGAUAAAUUGUUAUCUAAGAAAGAAAUCAAGUGGAUGUCACUAUUGGAGACUGUAGUACCAUAUGGUUUGAAUAAGGACUGUGAGAUCAGAUUUUUUAUUGAUUAAGGGAUGUAAUUCACAGCUAAUAAACCUACUGUCCGAUGAAAUAAAUUCCGUAAUAGCGCUAGGUAAAGAGGAAUUGGAGAUAUUAGAAUUUGAAUACAAAGUGAUAGAAUAAAUGUCCUCUGAAUAUAAUAACUAAUUAAUUAACUAAUUCAGCACUCUAUCCAUUGAAAUUACAUCAAUUAUAUUUAUACUUAUAUUACAUCAUUAUUAUUCUAACGUGUUAAGAAAUAACAACAUAAAAAAUACAUGAUGGGCAUUUUUCAAUUUUAACCUUUUUUAUUCUAUUUAAUUAAUUGCAUUUAAGAUGUGGACAAAUAAUUUAAUUAAAUUGAAUAGAGAUCAAGAUAGACAUGAUGAUUAAUAUUAAAUUUAUUGUACGUAUAUAUAGUUUAGAACACGAACAAUUAUACAAAAUUUUGAAAAUUUAGAAAACUUAUUAAACUAUUUAUCUAUGUAUAAUAUAUAAUACAAACAAGCACUUGCACUUUAACAAUAUGCACGAUUAUAUGUUUCAUGUAUCUUGAUGUAUUUU